rnacentral:lncRNA from 1 species
AAAGACCAAAAUAUCCUUGCAUUUUAAUUGAGUUUAUGUGUAAUGCAGGAUUUAGAUUGCUGUAAAUGAAGUUAAACUCUUCUUUGUAAAAAUGUCACGGUAUAAGCAAUGGAAUGGCAUUAUAAAUAAUAUCACGGGUAAAAAUGCAUUUGUAAAUUAGAUGGAAGGGCAUUAUCCCGAAAUGUCACGAGUAAAAAUGCGUUUGUAAAUUU